AGCUCUUUCGCCAAGUGGUAAGGCACAGGAUUUUGAUUCCUGCAUUCGUUGGUUCGAGUCCAACAAGGGCUGCUA
rnacentral:tRNA from 1 species